rnacentral:rRNA from 1 species
GACGAACGCUGGCGGCGUGCUUAACACAUGCAAGUCGAACGCUGAAGCUCAGCUUUUGUUGGGUGGAUGAGUGGCGAACGGGUGAGUAACACGUGAGUAACCUGCCUCCUUCUUUGGGAUAACGCCCGGAAACGGGUGCUAAUACUGGAUAUUCACUGGUCUUCGCAUGGGGGUUGGUGGAAAGGGUUUUUCUGGUGGGGGAUGGGCUCGCGGCCUAUCAGCUUGUUGGUGGGGUGAUGGCCUACCAAGGCUUUGACGGGUAGCCGGCCUGAGAGGGUGACCGGUCACAUUGGGACGGAGAUACGGCCCAGACUCCUACGGGAGGCAGCAGUGGGGAAUAUUGCACAAUGGGCGCAAGCCUGAUGCAGCGACGCCGCGGGAGGGAUGGAGGCCUUCGGGUUGUGAACCUCUUUCGCUCAUGGUCAAGCCGCAACAAUGGUUGUGGUGAGGGUAGUGGGUAAAGAAGCGCCGGCUAACUACGUG